CGAAACAUAAUCUCGAUACCCCUUUCAUAGGCACCGCCCAUCCUGUUCAGUGCCAUCAACCAAUCACAACCUUCCGUUGCGGCUGCGUCAAAGAGAGGCCAUAAUGUUGAGGUUGUUGAGGUUCCCCAGAUUGGUCGUAUCCAUAAGUGUCAUCCUCCUACUGUCUCUCUCUCCCUCCCUACCUCUCUCUCUCCCAGGAGACUGUCUUUAUUAAGCAUUGGCCCCUGUGAGACGGUGCCAUAUGGAGUAAGGGUCCGGUUUGGCAUACAGCUUGGCUUCUGGGGGCUAACAGAGAGAUAGAGAGCUCUGCUACGGAGGAUAGUGAAGAGCUGUGGCUUUGCUACUUGGAGUCAGUUGGCGUGCUUGACUCGAUAGUUUGUAAUCAACAGUCAUUGAGUCCAGGGUUAACUAGACAUAUAGAUUGGAAACGGGAAACACACACUCACUGAAAUUGUUUGUUCUAUUGAGGGACUGAGACUGAAGGAAAAGUGUGGAGGAGGUCCCGUGAAAUAGUUUGUUCUACUGAGGAACAGACUGAAGGAAAAGUGUGGAGGAGGACCCCUGAAAUAGUUUGUUCUACUGAGGGACAGACUGAAGGAAAAGAUUGGAGAAGGACCAGUGAAAUAGUUUGUUCUACUGAGACUGAAGGAGAAGAUUGGAGGAGGACCAGUGAAAUAGUUUGUUCUACUGAGGGACUGAGACUGAAGGAAAAGAUUGGAGGAGGACCAGUGAAAUACUUUGUUCUACUGAGGGAUUGAGACUGAAGGAGAGUGGAGGAGGACCAGUAGAGGGACGUAUCAUCUCUGUUGAGAUCCAAAUCUCUUCUCCACUUUGACCCCACCUUCCAUGGCGAUGAUUGCUAACUCCACGGGGAUGACCUCCAAUGACCUCCCCCUGAACUCAACGUUGACCCUUAGUCCGGAACCUUGGACCCCGCCUCCUUGGUACCAAUUCCACGUCUGCUCCGUGGCCCCUUACGGAUUCAUCUUCUACUUUGGAGUCAAAGUCUUCAACCUGGCCAUAGGCACACCCUGCAAUAUACUGGUCCUGUGGCAGAUCUCCAGCAGGAAAAGUGACUCGUCCACGUCUGACAUCUUCAUCUUUAAUCUGGCUUUAAUGGACACCUACUUCUGCCUCAUGGGGCCAAUAGACAUGGUCAACAGGCUGGUCCUGGACCACCAAGGCAUCUGGUACUUCCAACGCUUUGCCUACGGGGUCAAAGACACAGGACCCCUCUUCCUGGUGUGUAUCUGUCUGGACCGCUACGUGGCCGUGGUCCAUCCGGUGCUGUUCACCGGUAUCCGUGACAACAAGAUCCGCGUUGGUGUCUCCGUGGUAAUCUGGGCCCUCAUCCUGGCCUACAGCCUCACAAAGAGCAUCCUGGGAGUCAUGUCUGUCAACGAGGUGUUCAGCGGCCUCAUCCUCUUCGCCUUCGCCCUCAUGAUCUACUGUAACCUCUCCAUCAUAUGGGUCCUACGCCGCUCCGUAGCCGGGAAGGAGGUGAUGCACCCCGUGAAGAAGAAGGCCUUCAAAAUGGUGCUGGUCAUCUUGGGUAUAAUCUUCGUCAACUACCUUCCUCCUGUGGCUCUUGUUCCGUUCUUCUCCUACUACACGUUCGUCCAGUUCCGCUGUCAGGUGACUAUCAGUGUGUUCGCCAUCAUGGAUCUGAGUUGUAGUAUGGAGCCACUUCUGUAUAUGACCAAGAUGGACAGGCCUGCGUGUGUACCUGGCUGGUGCUGUGCGGGGGAGAGCUCGGCCAAGAAACCCUACGAGGUUAAAGUGUGA
ensembl:lncRNA